rnacentral:rRNA from 1 species
AUUGAACGCUUGCUGCAGGCCUAACACAUGCAAGUCGAGCGGAGCGGCGGACGGGUGAGUAAUGCCUAGGAAUCUGCCUGGUAGUGGGGGAUAACGUCCGGAAACGGGCGCUAAUACCGCAUACUAUCAGAUGAGCCUAGGUCGGAUUAGCUAGUUUGUGGGGUAAAGGCCUACCAAGGCGAACAUCCGUAACUGGGCUGAGCGGAUGAUCAGUCACCCUGGAACUGAGACACGGUCCAGCCUCCUACGGGAGGCAGCAGUGGAGAAUAGUGGACAAUGGGCGAGAGCCUGAUCCAGCCAUGCCGAGUGUGUGAAGAGGGUCUUCGGAUUGUAAAGCACUUUAAGUUGGGAAGCGGUACCAACAGAAUAAGCACCGGCUAACUUCGUGCCAGCAGCCGCGGUAAUAC